GAGAGAUGGCAGCACUCUGUGGGAUGGGAAGCCAGCACAGCUCACCGAUUUCGGAGCAUGCUGAGGGGGAAAGCCCUUGCAGCUCUGACACAGAAGAGCGGCACCGAGCCUUGGUCUGUUCCUGCCCUUUUUCCCACUCCAGUUCCAGGCUGGGUGUUGGAGGCUGGAGUCCCAUGUGCUAUCACACUGGAAACACUGUGUCCUCUGAGCACCACCUCACAAAGCCGCCUGCUGCUGACCAUUACUCCCAUUCCUGAUGAAGUGAAAGGAUGCAGGGAUGAAGUCACUCUUACUCAGCCUUGUGAUCUCAUUUCAGUGAGCAUUCAGGACUGUUUGCUCGAAGCCUUACUGGUGCUGAACGGGAUUGCGCAAUUCAGGCUUCAGGAGCUGCCGUGUGGGUGUGUGCGUACUCUCUGCACAGGAAGGAGCACAGAGAGUUCCUUGUAGUAGCCUUUGUUUCAAGGCUCUGGAGAACAUCUUAAAAGCCUGUCCCUCUCCUAUGUCAUCUGUAACUUCCUUUGCACUGGAACACACGCACUGAGUGGGAGAGGUAAUGACAGUGGAGAGAAAGUACUCACAAUAUAAACAUACUUUCACCUUGCGCAGAUAGCAGAAGGGAGCCCAACAAAUGGCCCUGCCAGGAAAGGAAUCUCCUUCCAACUUGGUGUGUCUGCUAGGGGAAGACUGGGAACACUGUGUUUUCUGCAGGGCCAUCUGAUGCUGUCUGCGAUGCUGCACUUGUUUACUGCAGCGUGUUGUGGCUCUGGGAAUUGCAGCACAGAAAUGUCCAAAAGGUUUUAUACUUGGCUUAUUUCUCAGAAAGCUGUGACUUGGAAAACUCAGGCCGGCCUAACUUUUCUUCCAAGUAUUCAAACAAUAUGCUUGGUAAUGUCAUUCUGCAGACAGUUUUGAUUUCUGAUUUUUCCAAUUAAUUUUGGGAGAAAACAGAGGUCCUGGAAUUUCCCACAAAGCAGAAUUUCUGUUGUUCCACCAGCUUGACUCAGCAAGAAUUUCUCCCACAGGAAUUUGGCCGUAAGUACUGAUACCAGCUAGGCAGUUUGAAUCUCUCUAGAUGGUGAAAGCUAGAGAAAAGUAUCUCAUAAAUCAUCAUGUCAUUGCUGUUUCAUACUCAAGAGGGGAGAAGAUCAUCUCACCUUCCUUUCUGUUCUCCUAUGCAUGUUUCCUGGGAACAACCUAAGCAGGUGGGUGUUGAAGAUCUGCAGAGGAUGUGAACGGCUCGGUUUUUACAACACAGUUUCUUGGUUGUAGUUACAGAGAGAACUCAGCUUUUUUUUU
ensembl:lncRNA